GUCUACAGUCAUGCCACCCUGAACAAGCCUGAUCCCAUCUGAUCUCGGACGUUAAGAAGGGUUGGGCCUGGUUAGUAUUUGGAUGGGAGACCACCUAGGAAGACCAUGUGCUGUAGGUA
rnacentral:rRNA from 1 species